rfam:Oryza glumipatula chromosome 2, whole genome shotgun sequence.
AACCACACUAUCAGUGAAUGGAUUCACCCGCGAGAUGACGUGGUUGUUUCACCUAGGACGAGGACAUGGCAUCCUAUUACCAGCCAUCGCAUGAAAUUAAUAGGAUGCAACGCCCUCAUCCUAGAUGGAACAACCAUGUCAUCUCACGGGUGAAUCCAUUCAUCGAUUGUGUGGUU